UUUAAGUGGAGCUGGGAGACCCGCUUUCCUCCCACACCAGGCGCAGACGCCGAGGCACAGCUCCGCCAGCCGCCCCGCCUUUACCUGGCGGGAUACUCACCUCUCCUCCUUCCUGGGGAGGCCACCGCCUCCCUCUCCCCCUUCUGCCCUGGGCUGGUUCCCAGCGAGCCCGCCAUUCUGGCUUCUUAACUUGCACCCUAACAGCUCGACAGAACCUUGGCGUCCACAAAAAGGACUUGAGGUGGGACAUGGAAGAACAGGGACCCCUCCUGGUUUGUCCACCCAGCCCACACCUCCAUUCCUCACCCAACCUACCACUUCAGAGCCGGGAAAAGACCUCAGAGAACAUCCGCUCCGACUCUACCGAGGCUCAGACAGGACAACAAGAGUGUGCUGGACACUGGGAAAUGUGGUCCAGGAGCAGUCACAGUCCCUAUAGACCUCCCACAAAUUACCGUAAUGCAAAGGUGAGAAUGUGGAAUGUCUCAGAGGAGACCCAGAUUAUAGCCUCUGGAAUUCAGCGGAGAUCUCUCGUGGUCCAGAGAGAUGUUGCAGAGAUGGGGUGGGACUGCGUAAGACUCCUCAAGGGCGAUUAGUCAAACACUGAGAUGAACUGAUCCAUCUGCGCUCUGCUGAGGAGCCCUUCUGGGAUGUAAGUCCUCAUCCGAGAGGCAGCUGGAGGGGAUGGGGCCCGGCAGAAUAGGGUUAAUGCAGCCAAAGUUCAAAUUCUGGCUCUAUUAGCAGUGAACACUUGGGAGAGCUCCUUCACUCACCGACUCUCAUCAGGAAAAUAGUGAUAGCAUGAACCCCUCCAGAUGGUUUUAGGAUUAAAAGAGAUACUUGUGCAAAGCCUCAGCAUACGGUAAGUGGUUGGAACAAACAUAUGCAUAGAAUCUUAGCUGCCAAUUAUUAGGAGGACUCAGCCCUCUCCUCCUGGGGGGUGCACUGUGAGGCUUAGAAAGACUAAGGGAGACCCAGCCCCUCACCUCCAUCCCACACGAGGCUCUACCCUUCCUUGGGGGCCGGGUCUUCCUUUCUUGACUCCCCUCAAUGCCAGGGCUGCCUGGGGUGCCGGAGAUCAACCACAGAAAGAAGCCCUGCUUGGUUCAAGUGAAUUGAGGGGAGCUGGGCAUUUCCCACCGGUUUGAUGAAGCUCCUCUCCAGCUUCAUUCCCUGCCACUGGGAAUCAGCGGCACAACUUGCAACCAACAUGGCUGAAAACAGGCAUCUUGGGCAGAUUCUACCUGACACCUUAGUUGGCAGCCAAUCAGUUGUGCCCUGGCUACCCUAGUGCCACCUCAUGGGUCCCUUGCAUUGGGCUGUAGCCUGAUA
ensembl:lncRNA TMEM51-AS1 TMEM51 antisense RNA 1